CAGCAGCCGCGGUAACACGAAGGGUGCAAGCGUUACUCGGAAUUACUGGGCGUAAAGCGUGCGUAGGUGGUGGUUUAAGUCCGUUGUGAAAGCCCUGGGCUCAACCUGGGAAUUGCAGUGGAUACUGGGUCACUAGAGUGUGGUAGAGGAUAGUGGAAUUUCCGGUGUAGCAGUGAAAUGCGUAGAGAUCGGAAGGAACAUCUGUGGCGAAGGCGACUAUCUGGGCCAACACUGACACUGAGGCACGAAAGCGUGGGGAGCAAACAGGAUUAGAGACCCCGGUAGUCCCUGUCUCUUAUAC
rnacentral:rRNA from 1 species